rnacentral:sRNA from 1 species
GGGAGACCUAGAAUCAAGGCAAUAGUUGAAAUAAUGGAUGAGAACUUGCCAAAAAUGCCAAGAGACACAAUGCAUUUUAAAUGAGAUGAGAAGUCUGCAGAGUAUAUAGGAGAAGCCCUUUGAAUUUAUUUAAGCCUUUAUUUUAUUUUAUUUUAUUUUAUUUUAGAAAGAGGGUCUUGCUCUGUGGCCCAGGCUAGGGUGUGGUGCAAUUAUAGUUCACCAUAGCCUCAAACUCCUGGGCUCAAGCAAUCCUCCCACUUCAGCCUCCUGAGUAGCUGGCAUAUACCACCAUGCCUGGCUAAUGUUUAAAUAUAUUUUUAGAGAUGGGGUCUUGCCCAAGCUGGUCUUGAACUCCUGGCCUCAAGAAAUCCUCCCACCUCGGCCUCCCAAAGUGCUGGGAUUACAGGUGUAAGCCACUGCAACUGGCUAACCCUGUAUUUUCUAUACAAAAGGGGACCUCAGGACCCCUUUUGAUGGAAUAGCUCUUACCACAUUGGAGACCAAGAUUUUGUCUUUGGGAAGCUGCUUUGGGCCUUUGUUGUAGAGAUCGCCUCUGCAAGUUGAUUCUAAUCUGUUCCUUCCCUUGGCCUCUUACCCGCAAUUCUGGCAGAAUUACGGAUCCAGAUGAGGAGAUUUGAGGAGCUGCUGCCCCAAGUGUGUUGGCUGGUGAUGGAGAAUUUCAAGGAACACCACUGGAAAAAGUUUUUCACCUCCGUGAAGGAGAUCCGAGGACAGUUUGAGGAACAGCAGAAGCAGCUGGAGAAAAGAAAGGACAAAAAUGCCCAGAAGCUCCAUCUAAAUCUUGGACACCCCGUACAUUUCCAAGAAAUGGAGUCUCUACACUUAAGUGAAGAGGAAAGGCAGGAAGAGCUGGACAGCAUGAUUAGGAUGAACAGGGAGAAGCUGGAGGUCAGUGAUACCACUGAUUCCCCAGUCCAGGCGCGCUCCAAAUAUAGCCCAAUGGACAGCCACUGACAGCGCCAGGUGCAGCCCUUUGUUGGUAUCUUGCCCAAAGCAGGCAUGAUUGUGGUUGGGUUUAGUAGGUAAAAAUGGCCAUUACUGGCAGUUUUAACUUGUAUCCUUUUUGACUUGUAAAUUAAUUAAUUACAAAAUUACUGAUAAUAACUUUUAUUUAGUGAUCCAUGUCUAGUUUUAUUUCCUCUUCUGUGAAUUGUCUGUGUGUGUGUCCCUUGGCCGUUUCUGAAUCAUUUAUUAUGUUUAAACCAGAUCACAUCUUGGGAGAGGCCUCCUGGCUGAGGGCCAGAUGCUGGUUACUUGGACACAGUGGAUAUAAUGGCUUGGGUCCCCAGAUCUCCCUGCAGAGUUCACCCAUCCCCUCUUCAGCUGGCCUUGGAGGGAUGAUCCUCUCCUAGCAGCACUGUGCUCACCAUGUUUUUUCCAGGAAUGUACCAGAAGGAAUGGCCAGGUUUUCAUAACCAACUUGGCCACCUUCACCGAGAAGUUCCUACUGCAGUUGGAUGAGGUGGUCACCAUUGACGAUGUCCAGGUUGCAAGUAAGAGGCACCACCAGCCUUGUGCCAUGGCCCUGGGGGGCUGGUGAGGGCUAGGUUGGGCAGGGGUCUGCUUUCCCCAACUCUAUCAGAGUGAAAACAAGUGAUCCAUUGAGGGGACUGAUUAAUUUUUGUUUUCCUUAAAAAUAAUUUUUUGAUUGAAAAGCAAAUGCCAGAUGGCUCGACGUUUAUGUAUAAAAAAUGAAACCCUAUUAAGUAAACAUUUCCAUACUCUUGGGGUUAGGGAUACCUUUUCUAAGUAUGACAGGAGAGCUAGAAGCCAUAGAGGGAAUGGCUGGCUCUUUGUAGCCAAAACAAAAACAGAAAAAUGUCAAAAGAUGGAAAGACAAACCACAAACUGGAAAAGUAUUCCUCACAACUUACAGAUCAGAGAAAGGGUUAAUAUCCCUGUGGUACAAAGAACUCUCACAGGUCAAAUUUUUAAAGAGACGAAGGACAAAAACAUGCUCUUCAAAAGAGAAGCAGUUCAUAUGGCUAGUCACUGUAAAAAAUGCUCAACUUCACUGAUGAUGAAAAAUGAAAAUCUAAGCAUUAUUUAGAUAUCAUUUCUCACCAAUAGCCUGGCAAAGUUUUUACAUUUGGUAACAACGUAAAAGAAUGUCAAGAAACAGAGACUCUGCAGAGACUCUUGGUAGAGCGUACAUGGAUACUGCUGUCAUAGAGAACAAUUUGUCAGUCCCUGUCAAAAUUCUGAGUGUGUAGACGUUUGGCUUAGCACGUCUAAUUCUAGGAAUUUAUCUGAGAGAAAUACUUGGACACUUUUUCAAAGGUAUAUGUUCAAAAAUGUUCACAGCACUGUUUGAAAUGGCAGAGAAUUGGAAGCAACACUGACAUUGAUAUACAGAAAAUUCAAUGGGCCAGGCACAGUGGCCCACACCUGCAGUCCCAGCACUUGAGAGGCUGAGGUGGGUGGAUCUCUUGAGCUCAGGAGUUUGAGACAAGCCUGGGCAACACGACAAAACCCCAUCUCUACUAAAAAUUUAAAGAUUGGCUCGGUGCGGUGGUGUGCACAUGUAGUUCCAGCUCCACCUCCUGGAGGUGGAGGGCGGUUGGGAGGGUGCUGAGGUGGGAGGAUUGCUUAAGUCUAUGUCAAGACUGCUGUGAGCCUUGAUCAUACCACUGCACUCCAGCCUGGUGAGAGAGCAAGACCGUGACUCAAAAACAAAGAAAAUUGGAUGCAUAAAUAAGAGUGCCAGAUGUGCAGGUAAAUACCACGCAGCUGUUAAAGUAGGUCUGCAUGUGCUGACAUGGAAAGACAUGAAGGAGGGCUGUUGUGUGAAAAAACAAAUGGACAAAUAGGACAUGUCUAUGAUCCCAUCUUUUAAAACACAUGCAUGAUAUCAACAUGCAUACUCACAUCUGUUUAAAUGAAUCUGUGUGAGAGACAGAGACAGAGAGACAGGUACCAAACUGCUGAUGAUCACCUCUGCUGUGUGGGAUUGAGAGAGAUCCCUAAAAAAUUUUUUUUUCAUCAUGAAGUGAUGUUUACAUUUUUAAUAAUGUGCAUAUUACUUUUAUAACUAUAAGAUUAAAAUCAUACAUUAAAUGUUAUCCAUUUAUCACUGAUCUGUAAAGUAAUUAAAAUACAUCCUUUUUAUUUGUAAAGGUUUUUAAUUACAAAAACAAUAAAUGUUCAUUCCAGUAAAACAAGAAAAUCAGUAUAAACCAAGAAGCAAGUGAAGAACACAGUCCUUCUGCCCUGAAAGCAGCGCCCUUUGCACUUGCUGUUCAUCCUGCCAGGCCUUUCCCUUUGGGCACAGGCCUGUGUGUCAGGGUGGCUGGGGAAGAUUACAGGGCUUGGGCACUUUUGUGACCUGAUUUCCCUGCAGGUGAACCUUGGCUGGGCUGGCCAGUCAACACUCCUCCUCUUCAGCGUUUUCAGUUGCUGCACACCAUAAUGUAAUAAGCAUUGUAACUUACUAAUUAGUCCCUUUGCUAUUGAACUUUGGACCAUUUCCAAUUUCCCACUCCUGUAAUUGUGCUGAAGAAAAUCUCUGCAUCCAUGCAUCUCUAGGGCAACAGACUCCUAGAAGUGUGGUGUCUGGAUCAAAUUGUGUACAGAUUUUUGAAGUGUUGGUCACUUUUCUAUAUCAGAGGUCUCUGUCAAAGGUGAGCCUCGUUUGGGAAAUCAGGGCCUUGCAGAGAUGCUGGGGUCGAGACCCCAGGGAGAACAGGCAGGCGAGCUGGUAGUGGAGCAGAUCACAGCCCCUUGCAAGGAACCCCUGAGCCAGGAAGACUCCCUGCACCAGGCCUUAGGAGGCCUCUGCCUGCUCUGUAACUCGGCUUCUGAGCCAGGCCACUGGGCCCUGCCAUUCAUGGCAGAGGAGUGUACAGGUUGCCUGCUGGCUCUCUGCACACAGAGCCCCCCACCCCCUUGCCCCCUGAUCUAGAAAGAACAUCAGAGCAUCAAAGAUUGGAUUAUUGAGCUAGAUAGUCAAGGGACAACCUUGAACGUGUUUGUUCCAAGGGAGGUUCUUAGUUCGGAACCUGUAUGAGCUAGCCUAAGCCAAAGAAGUCUCUAUGAACCAUAUCCGGGGACUCAUGGAAACUGCAGGAACGUCAGAGCAUCAAGCUUGGGUUUGGAGCUGGAAACAGCACCCCACACCACUGCUCAGAUUCCUUCAGCCAUGACCCCCUGCCCCUGUCACCACCCCAAGCUGUGUGGCUGGUGCAUUCAGCUUCUCUGUGGAGAGGGCUCAGCCUGCCAUAACUCCAAGUGGGGAGGAGGGGUGCCAGUCCUCCCUCCUCUAAGUGUAAUGCCAGGGGAAAUCCCUCGAUCUCAGGCUGUCGGUGAGGCUGCAGUCACUAGCCUAUCUUUUGCCUCUAGGGAUGGAGCCCCCCAAACAGAAAAUAUCAAUGCUCAUACGAAGGAAACUCGCUGGGCUCUCCCUGAAGGAAGAGAGUGAGAAACCCCUGAUUGAACGUGGAAGCAGGAAGUGGCCAGGGAUCAAACCCACUGAAGUCACCAUCCAAAACAAGAUUCUUCUCCGGCCAACAUCAUCGAUAUCCACCACCAAAACCACCCUGGGCCACCUGGCGGCUGUGGAAGCCCGAGAUGCUGUGUACCUGGUGAGACAGGGUGGAGUGGGCGUGUCCCAGGGAGCACAGCUCAGGUUGGCUGCCUUGGGAAGGGGGAGCUUCCCAUCACCCGGCACCCAACAUUUGGCUGGUGCAGCAGGCAACACAUGUUAGCGCACCCCAGAGCUGCAGGUCUCAACACUCAGGACAGUCGCCGUUCACAGGCACGAGGACGUUAGUGUGGAUCUGAGGCGUGAUCCCAAUGCUGUGGGAGCCCAGCUGAGGGACAUCCCACCCAGAUUAGGGGUGAAGAAAGGCUUUCCAAAGGCACUGUAGUGUCACAGCUAGGGAACGUUGUCACCAGGUACGGAAGCAAUGGUAGCCGUAGGCUCAGGGGGAACGCGGCAGCAGGAGCAGUCACAGCUCCUGAGAACUUACUGGGAAGUACUUACUGAGAGCUUCUGCUCUUGACAUGAGGCAUCUCACUGAAUCCUCCUAACAACUCCACAAGGGAGGUAAAAUUAUUAUCCUCAUUUCAUUGACGAGGACACUGAGGCUUAAAGAAACUUGUCCCCUCUAUGCCACUACAGAGUGGCAGAGCCAGGAUUUGAUCCCAGUGCCUGUCAGACCCCCUGGGGACAGCCUGAUGAGGAGGCUACACCCAGAUGCCACCUGAGGGACCUCUUGGCUUUGAAGAUCUGUGGACCUUUGGUCCUGAUGCCCAGAGAUAAACCUUGUCCUGCCCAGAGACCAGCUGGCCCCCUUAUUGGGAGAAGCUGAAGUGCCCAGGGUCAGCCCUCCCCCAGCUUCCCCUCCAAGCCCCAGGCAGAGGGUACAGCUCAGCCUGCUGAGUUCAGUGAGGGCGGGAGGCCUGGAAGGCCCAGCCUACCCAAAAACCGGGAGCCCUGAGCUCCCCAGAGGCCGCAGUGUGGGACAGAGCUCAGGAAGGAGUGCUGAGCCUAGAGUCAGAUAGACACAGGUCCUAGUCCCUGCUCAGCCUCCUUCUAGCUGGGUGACCCCAGGCCAGACUCUGAGCCUCAGUUUCCCUGUCUUGUAAAAUGGGAGAAACAACUAGGCCUACCUGGUUUCUACCUGAGAAGUGACUUGGGGAACUCUUGCCAGUGCCUGGAAUGGGUUAAAAACCACCUGCCAGCAAGUUACAGCAUUGCCCUAGGGGAGAGGGUCCAGAUGUCUCUCCUCAUGUGGACCCCUCCUGCUACCUUCGUUCUAGAAAUAUUUAGCAUCAUUUGAGGAGGAGCUGAAGAGGAUCCAGGAUGACUGCACAUCUCAGAUGAAGGAGGCUCAGCGCUGGAAGGACAGCUGGAAGCAGUCCCUGCACACUAUCCAGAGCCUGUAUGUGUGACCCUCCACCCCACCAUGAAUAAACGCUUUCUUAUACAGACUUCUUCCCUGUCCAUCUACCUGCCUACCUACUUUCCGUCCAUCCCUCCCUCCCUUCAUCCCUCCACCCCUGCUCUGUGCCAGGCACUGUAGCUUUACCAGCGAACAGGACACAGCAUGGUCCCUGCCCACGUGGAGCCCUCUUCCCAUGAGGAAGGCAAGCAUGAAAGGGAAGUCCACGUGGUUAGCAGGGAGGGUGAGUACCAGGAAUCAGUCACUUAAAAUAGGCACCAGAACUUCAAAGGACAUCACCUCCAAACAGCAUGCUGGGCAGGGCACGUCAUCUUGAAAAAUGAAAUAAAGGUCAUGGGAAAAUGAUAUUUUAAUUUAACAGAUUAAACAAGUAUGGGUUAUAACUGCAACUCUGCACUGGUUCCUAGACCCAACAAAUAACUAAUCCAAUGUUGAUUGGUAUUUGUGCCACAAUUUGUCUGAGCAAAUUGCAAUAUUUUGGAAAAAAAAAAAUAUUCCAGGCCGCUUUAGUCCUGUGAUGCUCAGAUCAUUCUCUUGGAGUCCUCCAGCCUGCCAGUCUGUUGCUCGUCAACUCUUCUUCGAUUACAUGGCCUGAGCAUACAGGCUUCGUUUGUCAGUAGCUCUGUGUGUCAUCUGGACAGGUUUCCUCAGCCAUAGACCUAGGAGGCCCCAGCCCCUAAAUUUCCAGCCCCUGACAGCUGUGUGACCCUCUGAGUGCAGUUCCCUCACCUGGGGACACUCACCCUGUUCUGCUGGUCUGCUCCACCCAGUGAGGCCCUGCUUGGUUAGCUUGGUUAGCUUGGUGGCCUUUGUGCACUGAAGCCAGGAGAGUGAGGAGUCCCCUUCCAUCAAGGCAAAAGCAAUCUCCUGUUCUUUUCUGUGCUCCCCCCACCCCCACCCCAAUGUGCUACCUGUCAUUGCUUAUUAUUCCAAAAGGAAUAUAUGUGCAUUGUAGAAAAAAGAAUUUAUGAAACUAGCAAAAGGAUAACUUUAAAAUCCUGAGCCGGGCACGGUGGCUCACGCCUGUAAUCCUAGCACUUUGGGAGGCCAAGACGAGCAGAUCACCUGAGCUCAGGAGUUCAGGGCCAGCCGAGGCAAGAUGAUGAAACCCCAUAUCUACUAAAAAUACAAAAAGUUAGCCAGGCAUGGUGGCGCACACCUGUAAUCCCAGCUACUGGGGAGGCUGAGGCAUGAUAAUCGCUUGAACCCGGGAGGUGGAAGUUGCAGUGAGCCAAGAUCAUGCCACUUCACUCUGGCUUGAGCAACAGAAUGAGACUCUGUCUCAAAUAAACGAAUAACUAAAUAAAUAAUAAAAUUCUGGAAUCUAGAGACAGCCACUGUCCAUAGCAUCUUUCCAUGUAUGUGAGUUAUUUUUAUAAAAUGGAAUCAUAACAUGCGUUAGGUUGCAUAAACUGCUUGGUAAAUUUUAACUGGAUAAACCCUAUGCCAUAUCCUUCAGUAUUCAUUUACAUCAUUGGUUUUCAUACUUUUCUGACUCUGACCCACUGUAUAAACAUGUUCUAAACACACGGUCCUUGCACACAUACACAGCUUGGGACCAACAGGUCACAGGACAGCACUUAACCUUACUAGAAAGGCUGCUUUCUAAUAUUUUCUCCC